AACCUCUCCAGUUCCAUCUGCAUCCCUAUUGUGCCUCCCAAAGAUGUCCCUGUGGAUCUGCACUUGAAGGCAUUCGUGGGUUACAGAAGCAGCACCCAGUUUCAUGUAUUUGAAUUGACAAGACAGCUCCCUCGAUUCUCCAUGUAUGCGCUGACCAGCCUGGACCCUGCCAGUGAGCCAAUCAGUUAUGUUAACUUUACCAUUGCAGAACGGGCACAGAGGGUGAGUAUCUCGCUUUUCUCUUUCAAUGCUUUUACACAGUAGAAUCCUUUAGAUGUUAUUUCAUAGAAAGGGAAAAU
rnacentral:sRNA from 1 species